rnacentral:misc_RNA from 1 species
UCCGGUUUGUCACCGGCGGUCUCCUUAGAGUUCCCACCAUUACGUGCUGGCAACUAAGGACAAGGGUUGCGCUCGUUGCGGGACUUAACCCAACAUCUCACGACACGAGCUGACGACAGCCAUGCAGCACCUGUGUUCGAGUUCCCGAAGGCACCAAUCCAUCUCUGGAAAGUUCUCGACAUGUCAAGGCCAGGUAAGGUGGGGAUGACGUGUCGUUACCUUA